UGAGUAAGACAGACAGUCGCGUGACGGCGCGAAAGCUCCGUCAUGAGGAAAGUCCGGGCUCCAUAGGGCAAGGAUAACGGGUAACGCCCGCCGGAGGCGACUUCAGGAAAAGUGCAACAGAAAUAAACCGCCGGCAUUGGAUGCCUCGGCAUCCAAUGCCUGGUAAGGAUGGAAAGGCGAGGUAAAAGCUCACCCAUCGGCUGGAAACUGUCCGAUGCUGUAAACUCUAUCCGGAGCAACACCGUGGAGAGAACUUGGAUCAUGUGUCUACGAUCCGCGACCGGCCCGGUCGUUCUCGAGGAGGUGGCUGGAGCGGUCUGGCAACAGGCCGCCUAGAUAGAUGACUGUCAGAUACAGAACCCGGCUUACAGUCUUACUCAAUAU
rnacentral:RNase_P_RNA from 1 species